ensembl:lncRNA
AUUUAAAGAAAGGAGAAAAAAAUGGAAUGUAAACUUCAGACCAUGAAGAAACAAAACAAAGUCUUGCAAGUAAAGCUUAAUGAAGCACUGCACAGAAAUGCAGAAAUGUUUCACGAUGAAAGUCUCAUAAACCAGCAAGACGAAGAAAAUAAAAAUACACAAAACCUGCCCGGUGUAGAUAUUGUAAAUAAGGGCUGGGAAAUAAUCUUUAUUGAAGAUCCGCAGCAUAUUGCAAGCCUGAUGACAACAAACAAGCAGAACUGCGACCAGUUAAGAAAAAUGUCCUACCAGCUUCAACAAACAGAAGCUAUUAAUCAGGAGCUCUAUGGGAAUCUCAAAGACACUGAGAACAAGAAUCUGCAGCUUCACCUAAAACUUGAUGAAGCCCUGGAGAAAAACAAAGAGUUUCUUCAAGAGAAACAGCAACAGGAAAAAAUGCAGAAAAAGACACAAGUUAUUCUCCAAGACUUAGAAAGGAAAAAUCUACAACUACACGCAUGUUCUAAUGAAAUGAAGGAGAAAAUCAUGGAACUAGAAGGAGAAAGGGAAAAACUGAUAAAACAAUACUCAGGCGCGCAGCACAUUUGCAAUGAAAUGCUAAGCAAGAACUCAGAGCUUGUGGAACUUUCUAACAUCAUAAAAUACAAAAUUGAUGAAAUCCUGAGAAAGAACACAGAGCUCGAGGGACAGAAUAAGAACUUAAACUACAAAUACAGUGAAAUCCUAAAGAAGAGCACAGAGCUUGAGGAACUUCAUAACAACUUAAAAUACAAAAAGAAGAAAAUGCUCAAGGAAAACACAGAGCUCGAGGAAAUUAAUAACUUAAAAUACAAAAAGAAGAAAAUGCUCAAGGAAAACACAGAGCUCGAGGAAAUUAAUAACAACUUAAAAUACAAAAAGAAGAAAAUGCUCAAGGAAAACACAGAGCUCGAGGAAAUUAAUAACAACUUAAAAUACAAAAACAAGAAAAUGCUCAAGGAAAACACAGAGCUCGAGGAAAUUAAUAACAACUUAAAAUACAAAAAGAAGAAAAUGCUCAAGGAAAACACAGAGCUCGAGGAAAUUAAUAAGACUUUAAAGUGCAAAAACAAUGAAAUGCUCAGGGAAAACAAAGAGCUUGAGAAACUUAAUAACAACUUAAAGUGCAAAAAAAAAUGAAAUUCUCAGGAAAAACAGAACUUAAUAACAACUUGAUGUCCAUACCAAGUGCUUCUGACCACUCCAACUGCCUGCAAAAUUAUUAUUUAAAAUUAUUUGGACAGUUUAAGUGUAUUAGUUGACAUCAAAGUGACUCUUUAAAUUGGCUAACAACAAACGAUUCAAACAAGCUAAUUUAUUUCACAUCCAAUGAGUCACUUUAAAAAUCCCACGACCGGUCGAGGCAGAUGGCCGUCCCUCACUGAGCCUGGUUCUGCCGGAGGUUUCUUGCUUUUAAAAGAAAGUUUUUCCUCCCCACUGUCGCCGAGUGCUUGCUCAGGGAAUUGUCAGAUUAUUGGGGUUUUAUUUAUUUUUUGUCAACUAAUACACAACUCGAGGCUCGCAAAAUCUCUAGCCCGACGUCCUGGAGCUAGCGAUAUCUCCGGUCGGGCGACCAAAAUCUAUCUCAGCCCCGGCGAUUUUGCGAGCCCUGCGAUCUUAUUGGGCAUUCCAAAUUGAUUUUUUUUUU